CGGGUGAGUAAUGUCUGGGAAACUGCCUGAUGGAGGGGGGUAACUACUGGAAACGGUAGCUAAUACCGCAUAAUGUCGCAAGACCAAAGAGGGGGACCUUCGGGCCUCUUGCCAUCGGAUGUGCCCAGAUGGGAUUAGCUAGUAGGUGGGGUAACGGCUCACCUAGGCGACGAUCCCUAGCUGGUCUGAGAGGAUGACCAGCCACAUGGAACUGAGACACGGUCCAG
rnacentral:rRNA from 1 species